rnacentral:rRNA from 1 species
UUUGAGAGAACGCGGCGUGGUUUAGGCAUGCAAGCCGAGCGAGAACCGUAGCAAUACGGGGACAGCGGCGAAAGGGACAGUAAUAUGUAGGUACCUACCUCCGGGUUCGGGAUAGCUGCGGGAAACUGCAGGUAAUACCGAAUAACGUCUCCGGACCAAAGGUGUGAUUCCACCUGGAGAGGGGCCUGCAUCCUAUUAGCUUGUUGGUGGGGUAACGGCCUACCAAGGCGACGAUGGGUAGCGGGUGUGAGAGCAUGACCCGCGUCAUUGGGACUGAGACACUGCCCAGACACCUACGGGUGGCUGCAGUCGAGAAUCUUCGGCAAUGGGCGAAAGCCUGACCGAGCGACGCCGCGUGCGGGAUGAAGGCCUUCGGGUUGUAAACCGCUGUCGUAGAGGAGGAAGUGCAGGGGGGUUAUCCCCUCUGUUUGACCUAUUCUAGGAGGAAGUACGGGCUAAGUUCGUGCCAGCAGCCGCGGUAAGACGAACCGUACAAACGUUACUCGGAAUUACUGGGCUUAAAGGGUGCGUAGGCUGCGCGGAAAGUUGGGUGUGAAAUCCCUCGGCUCAACCGGGGAAUUGCAUCCAAAACUACCGUGCUAGAGGGAGAUAGAGGUGAGCGGAACUCAAGGUGGAGCGGUGAAAUGCGUUGAUAUCUUGAGGAACACCGGUGG